rnacentral:rRNA from 1 species
UACGUAGGGGGCAAGCGUUGUCCGGAAUCAUUGGGCGUAAAGAGCGCGCAGGCGGUCGUUCAAGUCGCGUGUGAAAGCCCCCGGCUCAACUGGGGAGGGUCACGCGAUACUGAUCGACUCGAAGGCAGGAGAGGGAAGUGGAAUUCCCGGUGUAGCGGUGAAAUGCGUAGAUAUCAGGAGGAACACCGGUGGCGAAGGCGGCUAUCUGGACAGAAACUGACGCUGAGGCGCGAAAGCUAGGGGAGCAAACAGG